UAUAGAAAAAAUAAAAGAUUU
rnacentral:piRNA from 1 species